UGACAUAGCUCGUGGCCUAGUGGUUAGAGCGUCCGCCUCAGAUGCGGAAGGUCGCGGGUUCAAACUCUGGCCGAGUCAU